rnacentral:rRNA from 1 species
AUAUCAAUAGGCGGAGGAAAAGAAACCAACAGGGAUUGCCUCAGUAACGGCGAGUGAAGCGGCAACAGCUCAAAUUUGAAAUCUGGCCCCCUCGGGGUCCGAGUUGUAAUUUGUAGAGGGUGCUUCGGUGGAAGCUCCGGCCCAAGUCCCUUGGAACAGGACGUCAGAGAGGGUGGGAAUCCCGUACGUGACUGGGUGCUUUCGCUCGUGUAAAGCUCUUUCGACGAGUCGAGUUGUUUGGGAAUGCAGCUCAAAAUGGGUGGUAAAUUUCAUCUAAAGCUAAAUAUUGGCCAGAGACCGAUAGCGCAAAGUA